rnacentral:rRNA from 1 species
AACGAACGCUGGCGGCAUGCCUAACACAUGCAAGUCGAACGAGACCUUCGGGUCUAGUGGCGCACGGGUGCGUAACGCGUGGGAACCUGCCCUUAGGUUCGGAAUAACUCCCCGAAAGGGGUGCUAAUACCGGAUAAUGUCUUCGGACCAAAGAUUUAUCGCCUUUGGAUGGGCCCGCGUUGGAUUAGCUAGUUGGUAGGGUAAAAGCCUACCAAGGCGACGAUCCAUAGCUGGUCUGAGAGGAUGAUCAGCCACACUGGGACUGAGACACGGCCCAGACUCCUACGGGAGGCAGCAGUGGGGAAUAUUGGACAAGGGGCGAAAGCCUGAUCCAGCAAUGCCGCGUGAGUGAUGAAGGCCUUAGGGUUGUAAAGCUCUUUUACACGGGAUGAUAAUGACAGUACCGGGAGAAUAAGCGCCGGCUAACUCCGUG